rnacentral:rRNA from 1 species
CAGUAGCCACGGUAAUACGAAGGGUGCAAGCGUUACUCGGAAUUACUGGGCGUAAAGCGUGCGUAGGUGGUGGUUUAAGUCCGUUGUGAAAGCCCUGGGCUCAACCUGGGAAUUGCAGUGGAUACUGGGUCACUAGAGUGUGGUAGAGGAUAGUGGAAUUUCCGGUGUAGCAGUGAAAUGCGUAGAUAUGCGGAGGAACACCGAUGGCGAAGGCAGCCCCCUGGGCCAACACUGACGCUUAUGCACGAAAGCGUGGGGAGCAAACAGGAUUAGAUACCCGGGUAGUCCCUGUCUCUUAUAC